rnacentral:lncRNA from 1 species
UGGCCAUCUACUCCUUGACUUAGCGAGAACCCUGUGUGCAUGUUUCACACUUUCACUUUGCAGGCAAAAUGUGUAUAGGUGGUGAAAAUGACAUGCAUUUAAAAUGCAUGUUUCUCUUAUGCAUUUGAGAAUUAUUUUGCAUGCGAUGAAUUUAACUUGUGACAGUUUGUUACUCAAUGGGAAAAAAAACUAAUGGAAAUUAUCCUGUUUCUUUUUCAGGUGGAAUGAGGAGUACAGUUUACAAACAGUGCAACACAGUUGAUUGACAUUUAUUUUAAGCUGGUCCUUUCUUUGUUAGGACGAAUUAUUGCUCUUUGAAGACGUUGAGGAAUUGUUUGUGAAGUCAACGCGGAGUUAAAGUUAGAAGUUGAUAGUGUUGCUGUUCUGAUCACAGACCAAUUUUUCUUUAAGACUAUCUUCAUGAAAGAGUUGCUAGUGAUGCCAACAGGGAUUGAAA